AUACGGAGGAUGCGAGCGUUAUCCGGAUUUAUUGGGUUUAAAGGGUGCGUAGGCGGGCUGUUAAGCGUGAGGUGAAAGCUCGGGGCUCAACCCCGGAACUGCCUCGCGAACUGGCGGUCUUGAAUGUCCGUGCCGUGGGCGGAAUGUGGGGUGUAGCGGUGAAAUGCAUAGAGAUCACACAGAACACCGAUUGCGAAGGCAUCUCACGAACGGAGGAUUGACGCUGAGGCACGAAAGCGUGGGGAUCAAACAUGAUUAGAUGCCCUGGUAGUCCUCACUGUAAACGAUGAUAACUCGCUGUCGGCGAUACACAGUCGGUGGCCAAGCGAAAGCGAUAAGUUAUCCGCCUGGGGAGUACGGCCGCAAGGUUGAAACUCAAAUGAAUUGACGGGG
rnacentral:rRNA from 1 species